UAUUUCUAUCCAUUCUCUCUUUUAGAUGCUUAAGAGGAUGGCAAUGUAGUUGCUGUAGUAGAAGUGUGACUACUUUAUUUGCUUUAAUGUGGUUUGGAGGGCUAGACUGGAGAAGGAAGCACAGAGGGAAGUUUUUUCUCCUUCAGCGUUGUCUUGAUGUCUUUUCCCUGGCUCUGUGGAUCCUCUGGAAGGUCUCACAGCUGCACCAUCAAACAAUUCAGAUACUGGAAAAUAAUAUUUCCCACCUAAAAUUAGAUAGCCAUCUGCAUUUGCUAAGGAAGGAAUAA
rnacentral:lncRNA from 1 species